rnacentral:rRNA from 1 species
AUACGUAGGGGGCUAGCGUUAUCCGGAAUUACUGGGCGUAAAGGGUGCGUAGGUGGUUUCUUAAGUCAGAAGUGAAAGGCUACGGCUCAACCGUAGUAAGCUUUUGAAACUAAGAGACUUGAGUGCAGGAGAGGAGAGUAGAAUUCCUAGUGUAGCGGUGAAAUGCGUAGAUAUUAGGAGGAAUACCAGUUGCGAAGGCGGCUCUCUGGACUUUAACUGACACUGAGGCACGAAAGCGUGGGGAGCAAACAGGAUUAGAUCCCCUGGUAGUCCACGCCGUAAACGAUGAGUACUAGCUGUCGGGGGUUACCCCCCUCGGUGGCGCAGCUAACGCAUUAAGUACUCCGCCUGGGAAGUACGCUCGCAAGAGUGAAACUCAAAGGAAUUGACGGGG